CUGUGAAUCCCAUGAUUAAGAUUGUGAAUCCCCACCGCGAUCACGGUUACGUUCACCAUAAAAUGUACAGAAUGGCUGUAAGUGUUGCCAAUCUCAAUACGACGGAAUAUUAGAAUGACGACAUUUAACUAAUCAAUAGCAAAUUAGUCUUCAUUCAAAACUAUAAAAAAAUGGUGGAUUUAGUAUUACGUAGUAUUUUAUAACUUGUCUUUAUUUGAUUAACAUAAAUAAACGAUGACACCGUCGUCAUAUAAAUUACAUUAAAAGUGCAGCAAAAACUAUUUGUGGAGGUUAUGUUGGUACACACGAUAAGCUCUGCAUAUAAGCUGUACUGAAAUCUCCGCCAACCACUCACUCCUUCGUUGUGUGUACAUUAUCGAACUAGUGCUGAACUAACAAUCGCUAUGGAUAACGUAUCCAGGAAAGAGGCCCAUCAAGCAAUUGACAAGGCAGGAGAAACGAUAGGAAAGGUCCCCGGAGGAAGAGAGGUCAUGGGAUUUGGGCAGAAAAGGACCUGAUAAGGGCGGCCUUGCUGCAAAGGCCCAGGAACAUGUUGGGGACGUCCAAAAGGGCACAACAUUUGCGCAUUUGCAGAGAGACGCCAUGAAGAAGUAGAGGUGGUGUAACGUGUAGCAGUGUUCAGUUACAUUGAUAUUCCAUAAUAUUAUAAUCUUUGUUCCACAAAAAUGAUAAUGUAUUCUAUUUUUAUCUUUAAAAUAUUUUCAUGAACACUGUGCACUUCUCAUGUAGUAAAAUCUGAUGUUUUAAAA
rnacentral:lncRNA from 1 species